rnacentral:rRNA from 1 species
GACGAACGCUGGCGGCGUGCCUAAUACAUGCAAGUAGAACGCUGAAGAGAGGAGCUUGCUCUUCUUGGAUGAGUUGCGAACGGGUGAGUAACGCGUAGGUAACCUGCCUUGUAGCGGGGGAUAACUAUUGGAAACGAUAGCUAAUACCGCAUAACAAUGGAUGACACAUGUCAUUUAUUUGAAAGGGGCAAUUGUUCCACUACAAGAUGGACCUGCGUUGUAUUAGCUAGUAGGUGAGGUAAUGGCUCACCUAGGCGACGAUACAUAGCCGACCUGAGAGGGUGAUCGGCCACACUGGGACUGAGACACGGCCCAGACUCCUACGGGAGGCAGCAGUAGGGAAUCUUCGGCAAUGGGGGCAACCCUGACCGAGCAACGCCGCGUGAGUGAAGAAGGUUUUCGGAUCGUAAAGCUCUGUUGUAAGUCAAGAACGGGUGUGAGAGUGGAAAGUUCACACUGUGACGGUAGCUUACCAGAAAGGGACGGCUAACUACGUGCCAGCAGCCGCGGUAAUACGUAGGUCCCGAGCGUUGUCCGGAUUUAUUGGGCGUAAAGCGAGCGCAGGCGGUUUGAUAAGUCUGAAGUUAAAGGCUGUGGCUCAACCAUAGUUUGCUUUGGAAACUGUCAAACUUGAGUGCAGAAGGGGAGAGUGGAAUUCCAUGUGUAGCGGUGAAAUGCGUAGAUAUAUGGAGGAACACCGGUGGCGAAAGCGGCUCUCUGGUCUGUAACUGACGCUGAGGCUCGAAAGCGUGGGGAGCGAACAGGAUUAGAUACCCUGGUAGUCCACGCCGUAAACGAUGAGUGCUAGGUGUUGGAUCCUUUCCGGGAUUCAGUGCCGCAGCUAACGCAUUAAGCACUCCGCCUGGGGAGUACGACCGCAAGGUUGAAACUCAAAGGAAUUGACGGGGGCCCGCACAAGCGGUGGAGCAUGUGGUUUAAUUCGAAGCAACGCGAAGAACCUUACCAGGUCUUGACAUCCCGAUGCCAUUUCUAGAGAUAGAAAGUUACUUCGGUACAUCGGUGACAGGUGGUGCAUGGUUGUCGUCAGCUCGUGUCGUGAGAUGUUGGGUUAAGUCCCGCAACGAGCGCAACCCCUAUUGUUAGUUGCCAUCAUUCAGUUGGGCACUCUAGCGAGACUGCCGGUAAUAAACCGGAGGAAGGUGGGGAUGACGUCAAAUCGUCAUGCCCCUUAUGACCUGGGCUACACACGUGCUACAAUGGUUGGUACAACGAGUUGCGAGUCGGUGACGGCGAGCUAAUCUCUUAAAGCCAAUCUCAGUUCGGAUUGUAGGCUGCAACUCGCCUACAUGAAGUCGGAAUCGCUAGUAAUCGCGGAUCAGCACGCCGCGGUGAAUACGUUCCCGGGCCUUGUACACACCGCCCGUCACACCACGAGAGUUUGUAACACCCGAAGUCGGUGAGGUAACCUUUUGGAGCCAGCCGCCUAAGGUGGGACAGAUGAU